GAGGGUAUAGCUUAGUGGUAGAGUGUGUGCUUAGCAUGCACAAAGUCCUGGAUUCAAUCCCCAGUAAACCUCC
rnacentral:tRNA from 1 species